rnacentral:rRNA from 1 species
AACGAUACGGGAAACACCCAGAACCAUACCGAACCUGACGGUUAAGCCGUAUCGUGCCGAUGGUAGUACGCUAAGACGUGUGAGAGUAGGUA